AUAUUAAUGUAGCCAUUCAAUAGAAUGAGAGUCCAAAGCCUCUAUAAAUACAGAUGGAUAU
rnacentral:ribozyme from 2 species